rnacentral:rRNA from 1 species
UACGAAGGGGGCUAGCGUUGCUCGGAAUCACUGGGCGUAAAGCGCACGUAGGCGGAUUGUUAAGUCAGGGGUGAAAUCCUGGAGCUCAACUCCAGAACUGCCUUUGAUACUGGCAAUCUCGAGUUCGGGAGAGGUGAGUGGAACUGCGAGUGUAGAGGUGAAAUUCGUAGAUAUUCGCAAGAACACCAGUGGCGAAGGCGGCUCACUGGCCCGAUACUGACGCUGAGGUGCGAAAGCGUGGGGAGCAACAGG